rnacentral:rRNA from 1 species
CCCUACGGGGGAAAAAUUUAUUGCUAUUAGAUGAGCCUAUAUUAGAUUAGUUAGUUGGUGAGGUAAAGGCUUACCAAGACAAUGAUCUAUAGCUGAUCUGAGAGGAUGAUCAGCCACACUGGAACUGAGAUACGGUCCAGACUCCUACGGGAGGCAGCAGUGGGGAAUAUUGGACAAUGGGCGAAAGCCUGAUCCAGCCAUGCCGCAUGAGUGAAGAAGGCCUUCGGGUUGUAAAGCUCUUUUAGUGAGGAAGAUAAUGACGGUACUCACAGAAGAAGUCCUGGCUAACUCCGUGCCAGCAGCCGCGGUAAUACGGAGAGGGCUAGCGUUAUUCGGAAUCAUUGGGCGUAAAGGGCGCGUAGGCGGGUUAGUAAGUUAAAAGUGAAAUCCCAAGGCUCAACCUUGGAACUGCUUUUAAAACUGCUAGUCUAGAGAUUGAAAGAGGAUAGAGGAAUUCCUAGUGUAGAGAUGAAAUUCGUAAAUAUUAGGAGGAACACCAGUGGCGAANGCGUCUAUCUGGUUCAAAUCUGACGCUGANGCGCGAAGGCGUGGGGAGCAAACAGGAUUAGAUACCCUGGUAGUCCACGCUGUAAACGAUGAAUGUUAAAUAUGGGAAGUUUACUUUCUGUAUUAUAGCUNACGCGUUAAACAUUCCGCCUGGGG